UUGGUAGAAAUGUAAUACCUGAUACCACGGCGACAUUGAAUAUUAAUUUUCUACUAUGUCAAGCAUCCUGCUAGUACUUCCAUUAUCAAUAAACUUCUAGAACGCCUAAUGUGAUCCAGAAGAUCAUUAAACCCAGGAAAUAAAGAAAAAAUAAAUUCACAAUCCAACUGCUUAUUAAUCAUAGAAUCCUUGGAUUGGUCAAUCAUACAAUAGAAAAGCUUUUUCAAGCAAGAAUAAAACUGGAAUAGAAGGAAGCAUAUAUAUAAACAAUGAUGAUACCAACAGUCUUGCAGCAUUUUAAAGUUGAAAGCAAAAGAAUACACAGGAUAUGAGAGUAGUUUACCAAAAGUUUUUCAGGUUCGGAUGAACAUCAUAUACUCGUACAAUAAGCAAAUACAACUUGGGUGAAGUACAAGGCUGCAAAAGAACAAAAAGAAUGAAUAAGAUAAAUUCUGAACUUGUGUUGCCAAUAAACGACUUAUAAGCACUACUUUCUUAACGGACUUAUCCUAG
rnacentral:lncRNA from 1 species